ensembl:rRNA 5S_rRNA 5S ribosomal RNA
GUCUACGCCAUGCCACCCUGAACAAGCCUAAAGUCUGAUCUCAGAAGCUAAACAGGGUCGGGGCUGGUUAGUACUUGAAUGGAGGCCACCUAAGAAGACCAGGUGCUGUAGGUG